rnacentral:sRNA from 1 species
CAUCCCGUGUACUGUGUAAAUGUUGUUGGGACCCAGAAUGCUCAUAACCUCAUCACUGUCUCCACUGAUGGCAAAAUGUGUUCCUGGAGCCUGGACAUGCUCUCAACUCCACAGGAGAGCAUGGAGCUGGUGUACAAUAAGUCCAAGCCUGUCGCUGUUACCGGAAUGGCUUUCCCAAUGGGAGACGUCAAUAACUUCGUGGUUGGCAGUGAGGAAGGCACAGUCUACACAGCUUGUCGUCAUGGAAGCAAAGCAGGUAUUGGUGAGGUCUUUGAAGGUCACCAAGGGCCAGUGACAGGAAUUAACUGCCACAUGGCAGUGGGCCCAAUUGACUUUUCUCACCUGUUUGUCACAUCAUCAUUUGACUGGACUGUCAAACUGUGGACCACAAAGAGUGAAGUAACUGGCCCUCUCAUAAAUUCUAGGGAACCAGGCCUCAGUGUUUAUUACUGGAAAUGCACCAGCUUUGUGGAAGUUUCUGGAAAGGAAUGUUGUGGAAUUGGUGAUUGAGUGAAAUACCUUUCUCUUCUGUCCCCUGGUUCAUUGACUUGAACUAAGCCCAAGGCAAAAGUAAGAGGAGGUCUCUUAUAAUCUGUCAGCUUCCUUCUCACUUAGGACCUUCCUUAAGGAUUAAACACUUAACUUUUAAACCAGAGUUCCUCUUUACCUCUCCGCCAGACCCAACUACAUUAAGGGAUUUGACGGGUCACCAAUCCAGGAGGGUUAUGCAUGAGACACUUGGCUUCCACCCACCUAUGGAAUUUAAUUUAUGCCUGAUUGGUUUGAUUUU